rnacentral:tRNA from 1 species
GCCACGGUCGUCUAGCGGUUAGAACGCUGGCCUAGUAAUCCUGGGGUCUCGGGUUCGAUUCCCGGCGGUGCCC